GCGUCCGUGGCGGAAUUGGUAGACGCGCUGGAUUUAGGUUCCAGUAGGUAACCCCUGUGGGAGUUCGACUCUCCCCGGACGCA
rnacentral:tRNA from 1 species